rnacentral:rRNA from 1 species
CCUACGGGAGGCAGCAGUGGGGGAUAUUGCACAAUGGAGGAAACCCUGAUGCAGCGACGCCGCGUGAGUGAAGAAGGAUUUCUGUAUGUAAAGCUCUAUCAGCAGGAAAGAAAAUGACAGUACCUGACCAAGAAGCCCCGGCUAACUACGUGCCAGCAGCCGCGGUAAUACGUAGGGGGCAAGCGUUAUCCGGAUUUAUUGGGUGUAAAGGGAGCGUAGACGGUUAUGUAAGUCUGGAGUGAAAGCCCGGGGCUCAACCCCGGGACUGCUUUGGAAACUGUGUAACUGGAGUACAGGUGGGGCAGGCGGAAUGCCUGGUGUAGCGGUGAAAUGCGUAGAGAUCAGGAGGAACACCGGCGGCGAAGGCGGCCUGCUGAACUACAACUGACGUUGAGGCUCGAAAGCGUGGGGAGCAAACAGGAUUAGAUACCCCAGUAGUC